ACGAACGCUGGCGGCAGGCUUAACACAUGCAAGUCGAGCGCCCCGCAAGGGGAGCGGCAGACGGGCGAGUAACGCGUGGGAACGUACCCUUAUCUUCGGGAUAGCCCCGGGAAACUGGAAUUAAUACCGAAUGUGCCCUUUGGGGGAAAGAUUUAUCGGAUAAGGAUCGGCCCGCGUUGGAUUAGCUAGUUGGUGGGGUAAAGGCCUACCAAGGCGACGAUCCAUAGCUGGUCUGAGAGGAUGAUCAGCCACAUUGGGACUGAGACACGGCCCAAACUCCUACGGGAGGCAGCAGUGGGGAAUAUUGGACAAUGGGCGCAAGCCUGAUCCAGCCAUGCCGCGUGAGUGAUGAAGGCCUUAGGGUUGUAAAGCUCUUUCACCGGAGAAGAUAAUGACGGUAUCCGGAGAAGAAGCCCCGGCUAACUUCGUG
rnacentral:rRNA from 1 species